UCAAGUCAGAGAAAAUAGACCCCUAUAAGAGAAAGCGUUAUCACUAUACGAAAUGAAGCAGCGGCUAGCACGCUAAGCUAAGAUCAACCACUUGGAGAACGCGGAGCCUUUCUUUCUCGGUCGUCUGUCUUAAUAAGUGGAUUCCGAUUCAUGCGGUCGUUCUCUGCUGCAUUGGUCUUUUCACUCCCCACUCGCCACCAUAACAAAAUGUUUCCACUAUAUCUCAGGAGUAGUCAAAGGAAGUACGGCGGGUCCAAGUAGGAAAAAAUUCACUAAGAAGUAGGGCAUACAGCAAUGGAUCAAUUCAUUCAACAAAAUCCGUUCGGAUCAGACCAGGAUGAAUGGGAUUGGUCUGAACUCUCGCUCGGAUGGUUGACUCCCGC
rnacentral:lncRNA from 1 species